rnacentral:rRNA from 1 species
UACGUAGGGUGCGAGCGUUGUCCGGAAUUAUUGGGCGUAAAGAGCUCGUAGGCGGUGUGUCGCGUCGGCCGUGAAAACCUGGGGCUUAACUCUGGGCGUGCGGUCGAUACGGGCAUCACUGGAGUUCGGCAGGGGAGACUGGAAUUCCUGGUGUAGCGGUGAAAUGCGCAGAUAUCAGGAGGAACACCGGUGGCGAAGGCGGGGUCUCUGGGCCGAUACUGACGCUGAGGAGCGAAAGCAUGGGUAGCGAACAGG